rnacentral:rRNA from 1 species
UACGUAGGGACCAAGCGUUGUUCGGAUUUACUGGGCGUAAAGGGCGCGUAGGCGGCAAUUCAAGUCAGUUGUGAAAUCUCCGAGCUUAACUCGGAACGGUCAACUGAUACUGUUUUGCUAGAGUACAGAAGGGGCAAUCGGAAUUCUUGGUGUAGCGGUGAAAUGCGUAGAUAUCAAGAGGAACACCGAUGGCGAAGGCAGAUCUCUGGGCCGUAACUGACGCUGAGGAGCGAAAGCGUGGGGAGCGAACAGG